UCCCCGCUGAGCAGAGAGCCCGAUGUAGGACUCGAUCCCAGGACCCUGAGAUCAUGACCUGAGCCGAAGGCAGCAGCUUAACCCACUGAGCCACCCAGGCGCCCUGUGUUCCUGAUCUUAAUGGGAAAGCUUCUAGUUUCUCACAGAAACAACUAUAAAGCCUGGUUAAAACAAAUGGAGCAGCUAUUUUAGAACUUCAAAGAGCCAAUAGCAGGCGGUGAUGUGGAGAACAGCACCAGAAUUCAAAGUACCACUGAAUUGAUUAGGAAAACACCUGUUGUGCAAUCACAUCUUUAAAAUCCUCAUUAUUGUGAAGACAUUAAGUGGAAGAGAACGCAAAGUCAAACCUCCCUUCAACCACUUGUUAAACGAACUGAUGUCUUUGCUAUUUUCUGUGGGAACGAUUGCCUCCUGCUUCCUCCUCUGUAAAAAUCUGCACAUGCUCCAUGUCUU